rnacentral:rRNA from 2 species
UGGGGAAUAUUGCACAAUGGGCGCAAGCCUGAUGCAGCCAUGCCGCGUGUAUGAAGAAGGCCUUCGGGUUGUAAAGUACUUUCAGCGGGGAGGAAGGGAGUAAAGUUAAUACCUUUGCUCAUUGACGUUACCCGCAGAAGAAGCACCGGCUAACUCCGUGCCAGCAGCCGCGGUAAUACGGAGGGUGCAAGCGUUAAUCGGAAUUACUGGGCGUAAAGCGCACGCAGGCGGUUUGUUAAGUCAGAUGUGAAAUCCCCGGGCUCAACCUGGGAACUGCAUCUGAUACUGGCAAGCUUGAGUCUCGUAGAGGGGGGUAGAAUUCCAGGUGUAGCGGUGAAAUGCGUAGAGAUCUGGAGGAAUACCGGUGGCGAAGGCGGCCCCCUGGACGAAGACGGACGCUCAGGUGCGAAAGCGUGGGGAGCAAACAGG